CCUACGGGAGGCAGCAGUAGGGAAUCUUCCACAAUGGGCGAAAGCCUGAUGGAGCAACGCCGCGUGGGUGAAGAAGGUCUUCGGAUCGUAAAACCCUGUUGUUAGAGAAGAAAGUGCGUGAGAGUAACUGUUCACGUUUCGACGGUAUCUAACCAGAAAGCCACGGCUAACUACGUGCCAGCAGCCGCGGUAAUACGUAGGUGGCAAGCGUUAUCCGGAAUUAUUGGGCGUAAAGGGUGUGUAGGUGGGUUGAUAAGUUAGAUGUGUAAUACCCAGGGCUUAACUCGGGUGCUGCAUCUAAAACUGUUAGACUUGAGUACUGGAGAGGAUAGUGGAAUUCCUAGUGUAGCGGUGGAAUGCGUAGAUAUUAGGAGGAACAUCAGUGGCGAAGGCGACUAUCUGGACAGCAACUGACAUUGAUGCUCGAAAGUGUGGGUAUCAAACAGGAUUAGAUACCCUUGUAGUC
rnacentral:rRNA from 1 species